UACAAGCUUGAAGCAAGUCCCGGACAGGUUCCGGGAUCGAGCUGGAAAGAAAACCUGACGAAGUCUGCUCUCUAGCAUAUUUAGCAAGACCGUGUGCAAGGCUAUUCCCAGUAUGGGCAACCCAGCUAACUUUACAGUCAUUAUAAUCAGACAAAAUUCUCGCAAUUUCACGGAGCCUGAAGCACGCAGCUGAGCGGUUAGAAGCAGCGUCCUGUAUGCCUUCGGUGAGCUUCUAGGAUAGAUUCACAGCACUCGGAGGCACCCCAGGCAGAAGCGAUAACCUGACCAGUGGUGUCGCGAAGCACGGUUCCCCACCAAGACUCAUUGGUGGAAGGAAGGAAGCUGGCAUCCGUGUUGAGCUUCAGCCAGCCAUGAUCCGGAGGGAUCCACACCUGAUUAGCUUCCUUGCGUGACUGGCCAGCAAGCAUGGGGAUCAGGGCCUGCAUGGAUGGUAAGUGGGUUGGCAUUAGUUUUGUGAUGUAUCUAGAUGUUGCUAUCUUUAUCAUGUUAUCACCUGUCCGAAUGAAAUCUCUUUUCGAACUUUAAAAAGAAUAUGGAAGGCUCAAAGCGAGCGCGUGUCAGGUGAUUUGGUUCUUUCAGUUGGAAACAGUCCGUCCAGAUUUAUGUGUUAGAACUUGACGUGGCUGAUCAGAUUUACCUGAAUUUGUUUCGGUGUUUAUAAGACAACUAUGGUGACUUUUUGAACCUUUUGCCGGCUAUGUCUUUCGGAAGUGCUCGUAGAAAUACGAUGUGCGUGCAUACGUUCGUAUGAAUGAGUGUACAUGUUUGUACUGUGUUUUUUCAAAAAAGAAAAAGAAAGAGCAUAUGAAAAGCUUGAAGAAAUACAAUAUGUGGAAUUUGAACCUUCAUUUGUUUAAACUUGAAAACUUGUAAAGCCUUGGAUUGUAUGUGGAUUCUCUCGUCUCACUUUUUACGCUUUGUCUUGUAAAAUAUCAAAAGGCAGCCUAAAGUUAGGAAAAAAAAGUCCAAAGAAAGUCAUAUAUGGUUUGAGAGAAUACGGCAAGUCUCUCACACUUUUGUAUUCACGAGUACAUCAGGUAUUUAUACAGGGUGAACUACAAAGGGUAAUGAGAGAAUGCACAACUGCAGAGCGCAGAGGCUAACUGUUGUGCCUGAACCGAUAUGUGGAUUUACAAAACCUCAGACAGAAACAAACCCCAAGU